rnacentral:rRNA from 1 species
GCAAGUCGAACGCGAAAGUCGCUUCGGUGGCGAGUAGAGUGGCGGACGGGUGAGUAACGCAUGGGAAUCUACCUUGCAGUGGGGGACAACCCGGGGAAACUCGGGCUAAUACCGCAUACGACCUACGGGUGAAAGGGGGCUUCGGCUCUCGCUGUUGGAUGAGCCCAUGUCCGAUUAGCUGGUUGGUGAGGUAAAGGCUCACCAAGGCGACGAUCGGUAGCUGGUCUAAGCGGAUGAUC